rnacentral:lncRNA from 1 species
AGCAAUCCGAGCAAGUAUUUCGCGACAGAAUCUUAUCCGACUUUCACAAUCGCGAGGUUUUAACUGCUGUACGAUCUGUAUUUUAUACAGGUGAAACCGUAGCUCCAGGUGUAUUCGUCUCAAACUCCUGUCCGACAUGUUGAGAGACAAAGCAUGGCGCCAUGCAGAACGCCUUGGGCUCCUGGCCAUUGCCCUCUCUACCACAGCAACGUUUUCUGGGGUGCGAACUGUUCUUCUCCCUCCUGGAGGCUUGUUUUUCAGGGUCGAGCCUGUUUCUUCAAAGUUCUGGACCACACUUUUAUGGCAUGAGCUGACGGUACAGGAUCGUGACAACCCAGCUUCUCUUUUCGAUGAAACACUCACCUUGCCACCUCGUAAUUUUUGUUAUUCUGAUAAAAACGCACCACUCCAGUGAUUGACCAGUCCACUGCUCCAUCGUACCUUGAAUGACAUACAUUUAGCUAUGCAAUAACGGUGCAACGCAUUCCCCUACUCUAUCUGCGCAUGCGCAAUUGCAGAUUUCAAAUCGCCCGUUUCCCUGCUGCACCUUGUACAAUUAAGUGCUUGGACAAAGAUUAAUUCUUUAUUAUAGCAAAAUUAAAUUUACAAACUGAAAAACAGAAAUAAAUUAGUUAGCUUGUUAUAGUAAAAAUUCAAAAAUUCAGAUAUAUUUAUUUAGUAUAUACAAGAAGUUCUCAGUUUACAAGUUCACAAAUUUAUAAUCUCUUUCAAAUCUGAAAUAUCAAAAAAUUGAAAAUAUGAACAUUAAUUGCAAUAAAUAAAUGCUAAAUAUUCAUAAAAAUG